rnacentral:piRNA from 1 species
UGAAGUUGGCCUUAAGCCCAGCGGGCAUGC